rnacentral:rRNA from 1 species
CCUACGGGUGGCAGCAGUGAGGAAUAUUGGUCAAUGGACGAGAGUCUGAACCAGCCAAGUAGCGUGAAGGAUGACUGCCCUAUGGGUUGUAAACUUCUUUUAUAAAGGAAUAAAACGCGGCACGUGUGCCUUUUUGCAUGUACUUUAUGAAUAAGGAUCGGCUAACUCCGUGCCAGCAGCCGCGGUAAUACGGAGGAUCCGAGCGUUAUCCGGAUUUAUUGGGUUUAAAGGGAGCGUAGAUGGGUUGUUAAGUCAGUGGUGAAAGGUUUCGGCUCAACCGUAAAAUUGCAAUUGAUACUGGCAGUCUGGAGUAAAGUUGAGGUAAGCGGAAUUCGUGGUGUAGCGGUGAAAUGCUUAGAUAUCACGAAGAACCCCGAUUGCGAAGGCAGCUUACUAAACUGUGACUGACAUUGAUGCUCGAAAGUGUGGGUAUCAAACAGGAUUAGAUACCCCAGUAGUC